rnacentral:rRNA from 1 species
GACGAACGCUGGCGGCGUGCUUAACACAUGCGAGUCGAACGGAAAGGCCCUGCUUUUGUGGGGUGCUCGAGUGGCGAACGGGUGAGUAACACGUGAGUAACCUGCCCUUGACUUUGGGAUAACUUCAGGAAACUGGGGCUAAUACCGGAUAGGAGCUCCUGUUGCAUGGUGGGGGUUGGAAAGUUUCGGCGGUUGGGGAUGGACUCGCGGCUUAUCAGCUUGUUGGUGGGGUAGUGGCUUACCAAGGCUUUGACGGGUAGCCGGCCUGAGAGGGUGACCGGCCACAUUGGGACUGAGAUACGGCCCAGACUCCUACGGGAGGCAGCAGUGGGGAAUAUUGCCCAAUGGGCGGAAGCCUGAUGCAGCAACGCCGCGUGCGGGAUGACGGCCUUCGGGUUGUAAACCGCUUUCGCCUGUGACGAAGCGUGAGUGACGGUAAUGGGUAAAGAAGCACCGGCUAACUACGUG